rnacentral:rRNA from 1 species
CUGGCCUUCGUGCUCCUCCAACCCAUGUGACGUUACCAAACUGUUGCCUCGGCGGGAUCUCUGCCCCGGGUGCGUCGCAGCCCCCCUGUCCAGGACGCCCGCCGGAGAGCCAACCAAAACUGUUAUUAUAAACCCCCUCGCGGGUUUUUUUAUAAUAUGAGCCUUCUCGGCGCCUCUGGUAGGCGUUUCGAAAAUGAAUCAAAACUUUCAACAACGGAUCUCUUGGUUCUGGCAUCGAUGAAGAACGCAGCGAAAUGCGAUAAGUAAUGUGAAUUGCAGAAUUCAGUGAAUCAUCGAAUCUUUGAACGCACAUUGCGCCCGCCAGUAUUCUGGCGGGCAUGCCUGUCCGAGCGUCAUUUCAACCCUCGAACCCCUCCGGGGGGUCGGCGUUGGGGAUCGGCCCUGCCUUGGCGGUGGCCGUCUCCGAAAUACAGUGGCGGUCUCGCCGCAGCCUCUCCUGCGCAGUAGUUUGCACACUCGCAUCGGGAGCGCGGCGCGUCCACAGCCGUUAAACACCCAACUUCUGAAAUGUGACCUCGGAUCAGAGGAAUGCAGUCCUU